rnacentral:tRNA from 1 species
AUUUAUAUAGUAUAAAAAUUAUUUUUAAUUUCCAAUUAAAAGAUUUAAGUAAUUUAAUAUAAAUA